UACGGAGGGGGCUAGCGUUGUUCGGAAUUACUGGGCGUAAAGCGCACGUAGGCGGCCUGUUAAGUCGGGGGUGAAAUCCUGGGGCUCAACCUCAGAAUUGCCUCCGAUACUGGCAGUCUCGAGUGCGGGAGAGGUGAGUGGAAUUCCCAGUGUAGAGGUGAAAUUCGUAGAUAUUGGGAAGAACACCAGUGGCGAAGGCGGCUCACUGGCCCGUAACUGACGCUGAGGUGCGAAAGCGUGGGGAGCAAACAGG
rnacentral:rRNA from 1 species